AACGAACGCUGGCGGCAGGCCUAACACAUGCAAGUCGAACGCACUCUUCGGAGUGAGUGGCAGACGGGUGAGUAACGCGUGGGAAUCUUCCCAAUGGUACAGAAUAGCCCAGGGAAACUUGGGGUAAUACUGUAUAAGCCCGAAAGGGGAAAGAUUUAUCGCCAUUGGAUGAGCCCGCGUUGGAUUAGCUUGUUGGUGAGGUAACGGCUCACCAAGGCGACGAUCCAUAGCUGGUCUGAGAGGAUGAUCAGCCACACUGGGACUGAGACACGGCCCAGACUCCUACGGGAGGCAGCAGUGGGGAAUAUUGGACAAUGGGCGCAAGCCUGAUCCAGCCAUGCCGCGUGAGUGACGAAGGUCUUCGGAUUGUAAAGCUCUUUUGGCGGGGACGAUAAUGACGGUACCCGCAGAAUAAGCCCCGGCCAACUUCGUGCCAGCAGCCGCGGU
rnacentral:rRNA from 1 species